UUGAGAUAGCUUCAUGCAGUUGCCGAUAGUUUUCCCCUACGCCAAGGCUAGGGUUUGUCUCCUCCCUAGCGAUUCCAUCGCCAGAGAGUACCUACGUUCAAACACAACCCGUCCCCGCUAGGUAUCGCGCAAUCGUGGCCUGCAAUCCUUCCCCCGGUGACUCACGCGCUCCUACACGGCAUCAAUCGAGGUUUCGAUGGCGGACGCACUGUCCAGGAACAACGGUGGUGGCGGUGCCGCCGGGAA
rnacentral:lncRNA from 1 species